UACGUAGGGGGCGAGCGUUGUCCGGAAUUAUUGGGCGUAAAGAGCGUGUAGGCGGUUCGGUAAGUCUGCCGUGAAAACCUGAGGCUCAACCUCGGGCGUGCGGUGGAUACUGCCGGGCUAGAGGACGGUAGAGGCGAGUGGAAUUCCAGGUGUAGCGGUGAAAUGCGUAGAUAUCGGGAAGAACACCCGUGGCGAAGGCGGUUCUCUGGGACGGUACUGACGCUGAGACGCGAAAGCGUGGGGAGCGAACAGG
rnacentral:rRNA from 1 species